GAUGAACGCUGGCGGCGUGCCUAAUACAUGCAAGUCGAGCGAACAGACGAGGAGCUUGCUCCUCUGACGUUAGCGGCGGACGGGUGAGUAACACGUGGAUAACCUACCUAUAAGACUGGGAUAACUUCGGGAAACCGGAGCUAAUACCGGCUAAUACAUUGAACCGCAUGGUUCAAUAGUGAAAGACGGUUUUGCUGUCACUUAUAGAUGGAUCCGCGCCGCAUUAGCUAGUUGGUAAGGUAACGGCUUACCAAGGCAACGAUGCGUAGCCGACCUGAGAGGGUGAUCGGCCACACUGGAACUGAGACACGGUCCAGACUCCUACGGGAGGCAGCAGUAGGGAAUCUUCCGCAAUGGGCGAAAGCCUGACGGAGCAACGCCGCGUGAGUGAUGAAGGUCUUCGGAUCGUAAAACUCUGUUAUUAGGGAAGAACAAAUGUGUAAGUAACUAUGCACGUCUUGACGGUACCUAAUCAGAAAGCCACGGCUAACUACGUG
rnacentral:rRNA from 1 species